rnacentral:rRNA from 1 species
UACGUAGGGCGCAAGCGUUGUCCGGAAUUAUUGGGCGUAAAGAGCUCGUAGGUGGCUUGUCACGUCGGGUGUGAAAGCUUGGGGCUUAACUCCAGGUCUGCAUUCGAUACGGGCUGGCUAGAGGUAGGUAGGGGAGAACGGAAUUCCUGGUGUAGCGGUGAAAUGCGCAGAUAUCAGGAGGAACACCGGUGGCGAAGGCGGUUCUCUGGGCCUUACCUGACGCUGAGACGCGAAAGCGUGGGGAGCAAACAGG